GACGAACGCUGGCGGCGUGCUUAACACAUGCAAGUCGAACGGAAAGGCCCUGCUUUUGUGGGGUGCUCGAGUGGCGAACGGGUGAGUAACACGUGAGUAACCUGCCCUUGACUUUGGGAUAACUUCAGGAAACUGGGGCUAAUACCGGAUAGGAGCUCCUGCUGCAUGGGGGGGGUUGGAAAGUGUCGGCGGUUGGGGAUGGACUCGCGGCUUAUCAGCUUGUUGGUGGGGUAGUGGCUUACCAAGGCUUUGACGGGUAGCCGGCCUGAGAGGGUGACCGGCCACAUUGGGACUGAGAUACGGACCAGACUCCUACGGGAGGCAGCAGUGGGGAAUAUUGCACAAUGGGCGGAAGCCUGAUGCAGCAACGCCGCGUGCGGGAUGACGGCCUUCGGGUUGUAAACCGCUUUCGCCUGUGACGAAGCGUGAGUGACGGUAAUGGGUAAAGAAGCACCGGCUAACUACGUG
rnacentral:rRNA from 1 species